rnacentral:snoRNA from 1 species
GGGGAACAUCCAUUUGUGGAGAUGUUGCCUGAUACAAUCUUCCUAUAUUAAAAAAACUGCUGUUUCCUGCUUGUAGUGCUUGAGCAAGUCCUGCAAGUCUCAAAUAGACAGUGACAAAU